UACGGGGGGGGCAAGCGUUGUUCGGAAUUACUGGGCGUAAAGGGCGCGUAGGCGGCCCGCUAAGUCGAACGUGAAAUCCCCGAGCUCAACUCGGGAACUGCGUCCGAUACUGGCGGGCUUGAAUCCGGGAGAGGGAUGCGGAAUUCCAGGUGUAGCGGUGAAAUGCGUAGAUAUCUGGAGGAACACCGGUGGCGAAGGCGGCAUCCUGGACCGGCAUUGACGCUGAGGCGCGAAAGCUAGGGGAGCAAACAGG
rnacentral:rRNA from 1 species